GCUCAGAGUGAACGCUGGCGGUAGGCCUAACACAUGCAAGUCGAACGGCAGCACAGAGGAGCUUGCUCCUUGGGUGGCGAGUGGCGGACGGGUGAGGAAUACAUCGGAAUCUACUUUUUCGUGGGGGAUAACGUAGGGAAACUUACGCUAAUACCGCAUACGACCUACGGGUGAAAGCAGGGGACCUUCGGGCCUUGCGCGAUUGAAUGAGCCGAUGUCGGAUUAGCUAGUUGGCGGGGUAAAGGCCCACCAAGGCGACGAUCCGUAGCUGGUCUGAGAGGAUGAUCAGCCACACUGGAACUGAGACACGGUCCAGACUCCUACGGGAGGCAGCAGUGGGGAAUAUUGGACAAUGGGCGCAAGCCUGAUCCAGCCAUACCGCGUGGGUGAAGAAGGCCUUCGGGUUGUAAAGCCCUUUUGUUGGGAAAGAAAUCCAGCCGGCUAAUACCUGGUUGGGAUGACGGUACCCAAAGAAUAAGCACCGGCUAACUUCGUGCCAGCAGCCGCGGUAAUACGAAGGGUGCAAGCGUUACUCGGAAUUACUGGGCGUAAAGCGUGCGUAGGUGGUUGUUUAAGUCUGUUGUGAAAGCCCUGGGCUCAACCUGGGAACUGCAGUGGAAACUGGACAACUAGAGUGUGGUAGAGGGUAGCGGAAUUCCCGGUGUAGCAGUGAAAUGCGUAGAGAUCGGGAGGAACAUCCAUGGCGAAGGCAGCUACCNGGA
rnacentral:rRNA from 1 species